rnacentral:rRNA from 1 species
AUGGUUGUGCAUCUCUCUCUCUCUCUCUCGUUAAUUUUGGGAUUACCUCUCUUUGUUUGCGUGCAGGUCCAAAAUAACGUGACUGGUUACCUGGAAGAAGCGAAAUGGUCACACAGGAACCACAAGCCAAGCUUUGUAGAUCAGGUCAAGUUGACUAGCCUGAACAUUGGCGUGCCAACAAUAUGUGUGAGUAUGAUGGCUGGAAUGAGUGAUGCAAUGAUGAAGCCAGCACUCAAAUGGGCUGCUAGUGUUCCAGAUGUCGUCAUAUCAGUCGGGAAGAUUUCCCGUUUCAUGAAUGAUAUCGGUGCAUUUGAGCGUCGAAAAUGCAAGGGGGAUCUGGCAAGCACCGUAGAGUGUUACAUCAAUGAGUACAACGUGACAAGUGAAGUGGCCAUUACCAAAAUUGUUGCCCUGAUAGAACAAGAAUGGAAGACCCUGAACCAAGCUCGCUUUGAAAAUCAUCUUCUCCCUGCAUUGCAGCAGUUCAUUAGCUUAGCGAUUAGCACAACAUUUUUCUAUGGUAACAGAAAUGAUGUAUACACGCACAGCGCACAUAUGCAGUGGACUAUUGAGAGGCUCUUCCUGAAGAAUAUGUAG